AUUGAACGCUGGCGGCAGGCCUAACACAUGCAAGUCGAGCGGAUGAGUGGAGCUUGCUCCAUGAUUCAGCGGCGGACGGGUGAGUAAUGCCUAGGAAUCUGCCUGGUAGUGGGGGACAACGUUUCGAAAGGAACGCUAAUACCGCAUACGUCCUACGGGAGAAAGUGGGGGAUCUUCGGACCUUACGCUAUCAGAUGAGCCUAGGUCGGAUUAGCUAGUUGGAGAGGUAAAGGCUCACCAAGGAGACGAUCCGUAACUGGUCUGAGAGGAUGAUCAGUCACACUGGAACUGAGACACGGUCCAGACUCCUACGGGAGGCAGCAGUGGGGAAUAUUGGACAAUGGGCGAAAGCCUGAUCCAGCCAUGCCGCGUGUGUGAAGAAGGUCUUCGGAUUGUAAAGCACUUUAAGUUGGGAGGAAGGGCAGUAAGUUAAUACCUUGCUGUUUUGACGUUACCAACAGAAUAAGCACCGGCUAACUUCGUGCCAGCAGCCGCCGUAAAAC
rnacentral:rRNA from 1 species